rnacentral:rRNA from 1 species
UACAGAGGGUGCAAGCGUUGGUCAGAAUUAUUGGGCGUAAAGCGCGUGUAGGCGGCUUUGCAAGUCGGGUGUGAAAUCCCUCAGCUUAACUGAGGAAGUGCGCCCGAAACUGCAGAGCUUGAGUACCGGAGAGGGUGGCGGAAUUCCCCAAGUAGAGGUGAAAUUCGUAGAUAUGGGGAGGAACACCGGUGGCGAAGGCGGCCACCUGGACGGAUACUGACGCUGAGACGCGAAAGCGUGGGGAGCAAACAGG